GGGAUUGGUUGUCCGGAUCGGGCUGCUACGGCAGCCGGCAGGGUAGCGAGGUGGAGCAGUGUGGGAAGCCCCAAGCCCGUACCUCUGGGACUGAACGGCGGCGGGUGGGCUGCGGUCAGCCUCUGCAGGCCUGGGCAGGCCUCCUGAGAGUCUAGGGCGUAAGAGUUUUGGGGGGUUCGGAAAGCGGGCUGCGGACCCCCUGCCUGAGGCUUUGGUUUGAGCCCUGGAUCCGGCCUUGUGUUUCCCCGGAAGGAUGGCGUCUCAGUCUUUCCUGAAGUUGGUGGGGUUUGGAUGUUAUUAUUAUUAUUAUCAGCAGUAGUAUUGUUAUUAUUGUUAUUAUUAUCGUUUUGAGGAUACACCGCGAAUUGGUGAUCCUGCGCAGGGUGCCAUGCAGAAUGCCAUGAGUUAGAAGUUGGAGGUCGGAGGGCUUAGAGAUGCUUGAGGGACGUCCUUAACCUACGUGAAAUGUUGGAGCUAAGUCGGCUUUAUAAACCGUGCUGAUGCCUGUAUAAUCCAGGCGCUUAGGGUUUAGUAGGGAGGGUCGUUCACUGACUGAAUUAAACCGUCGCUUAUUGAGUCGCCUUCUGAGUCCCAGGCAUCAUUCUGAGUGUAACGGAUGCAAAGGCCAGUAAGAGGAAGUCCUGGUUCUUUAGGAGCUCUGCGUAAUGGGGCUGGUGGGAGAGACGGGAGGUGGGGGACGUGAAUGGGUGAAUAAUUGGCGUGUGAUGCGUACUGUGGUGGGAAAAAGUGCUGUGGGAGUCAGAGGAGGGGAUGACUGAGGGAGUUAGGGACCACUUAACAGAGAAGGUGACGUUUGAACAAGGUUUUAGAACUACAGACUUUCUCCAGAUUGAAAGGGGUAGGGAAGGCGCUCCAGACAGAGGAAAGCGUACUGAGGAAGAGAACAAGGAAAGUGUGCCCUCUGUGGCUGGAGCACACUUGGAGCUCUGCUCACAAGUUUCAUGCUUUUAGACAAGAUUAUUUAAGUUCUCUUAGCCUGUUUGCUUUUUGUAACGUGUACUUACUUCUGCACAGGUUGAUGAGAUAAAGGUUCGAGCCUCUAAACAGGCACUUUACUAGUUUCCCUCUCUUUGUGGAAUUCAGUUGCUGAAUGGAGAACACAGACCAUAGCUGUACGUUUUUAACUAUGGAGUAUCAAGCUAUUGACAUUUAUAAAUGGCUGAAGGAGGCAUGCUGUGUCUCCAGAAUUGUUAUUUAGAUACAAUGCUGAAAAGCUGGAGAGGUUGACAUUGUUUGUGUUCCUAGUACUUUAGCAUAGCAUGUCAGCGAUAGUAAACUACGAGAAGGUGUCAUUUAGAAUAAAUAAAAUGCAGGCAGCCUUCUCAUUCAGAAAUUGAUCAUCCAUGUUGUGAAUUACCCAGGCUUUGCAUUGUUUCUUUUAUCUUGCCCAUGGCCUGGAGAAAAAUGAUAUUAAACCUUGUAUUUAGCUGGUAGUGGAAAAAUAUAAAUCUGGUAAUCAGAUCUCAGUUUCUCUUUCCAGCAUUGCUGUUAUUUUGCUAUGGACCUUUGUCAAAUCCUAGCCUCCCUGGGUCUUGGACUCUUUAGCAGACUCUUGUAUAAAAUUUUUUAUGACUAUACUUUUCAUCUUUGUUGGCAGCAGAAUUGUAAAUCAAACUGUAUGUCAAAUGAACUGGAGUUUACUUUAUAAAGGAUUUUAGGAGAAAAUCUUUUCUAAAGAUUUUGCUUUAGAACUAGAUUAUAAAUCCCUUCACAGACAUAUCUGAGAUUUUAUCAUGCAUGGUGUUUGGACUCACUAAAACAAGAAAUGUUUUUUUGAACUGUAAAUGCUUCUCCACUCUACUCUGUAUUACAAAAAUUUUUAAAAAGCACCUCCAAAACAAAACUUGUUCAAGUUUGCAUUUUUGUACAGCAGAGUUGCUUGAGGUGAAUAGUAGAAGAUCAAAUAUUGAAAGCCCACGGUUGCAACUUACCUGAAAAGAAGUCUUUUUUUCUCAUGGGUAAACCUAAGUUUUCUUGGAUGUGAAAAUAGGGUGUUGGGCUGCUCUUAGAUAAUACAAGGAGGUGAAAAGCAAUGAUGCAAUGAUGAGUGAAGUAUAGUCUGACCUGGUAUUGCCAUUGCUUCAGUGUUGGCAUUGACCAGGGUAUGACCCCUUAAUCUUCUCUCUGAGCUGAUUCUGG
ensembl:lncRNA